CCAGUAGUAUACGAGAGGGGAGCAUUAGAUAGUAGCAAGAGGGAGUUCAGUCUGCUACUGACACUCAACAGGGAGCUGGCUUUCAGCACCUCACUUUUUCACUGUAACUGGGCAUUCAUUCCACUUUAACUUGACCCGGACUAAGGGUUCAGGAAGGAUCUUAUUAGCAGAAUUCAAUGAAUUUCACCCUGCUUGCGUCAUCUGAAAGAAAAGAAGGGGUAUGGGUCUUUGAGGCUGAGGGCUGUCCAAUUAUAGAGUUUACUCAUAUUGGAAUUAGAGAGUUUACUCAUAUUGGGAAGCUAGGAAUAUAGGAAUAAGAUAUAGUAAUAAGGGAAGCUAGGAAUAUAGGAAUAAGGGAAGCUAUGAAAGGCAACUACUAGACUCGCUAACCACUUCUAUUUCCUCUCCUGGUAGUACUGUUAGAGUUAGAGUUUCAGACCAGUUAGUAGAUACCUUAUUCUUAUUCUAGGUAUUGUUGACAGAGCAAGAGGUGAAGUAGUCGUCAGCAGCAAACGAUAAGGGAGUUGUUGCCGGGUAGCAAGUAUACGAGUAGUUGGCUCUUUGAACACAAGUCCUGAAUUCACCUAUAUUAGAGAUGAGUGAAACUAGUAUAUGUACCUUCUUUGGCGCAAGUAGUAGAGUAGUUGGCUCUUUCCAAUUAAUUGAACCCUGCUGGCUCUGCUGGGCGAGUGGAAUCUUUUAUCCUUUCUAAAGAUAGAAGAAAUAAAGAAAGAAAUCCAGUGGUCAUGUUUUUCACUGUGAAACCAACCCUGGAGUAGUUGCUAAUGACAAAUUCUCCGAAGUAACAAUAUUAGAAACCAUUGCUUGUCUCCGGGUCUAAAGUCUCAGUAACACCUGAUUUAGAGUAUUAGGCUUUCCCCCCUGAACCAUCUUUUGAGUCCUUUCCUGGAGACUUAACUGCUGAUUCAGAACAAACACCUUACUGACGCAACUAAGUACUAAACUUCUUGGCCCUAUCCACUUUCCGGAUCCCAGUAUCUGUCUGAUAUUGUCGCCCUUUCUUUUCCACUGUUGAUUCUCUCGGCACCAACACACGAACCCGGCUCCUGCUGCCCUGGCUUUCUUUCUCACUUUCCAGAUAGCUCACCCCUUAUUCAGUGCUUUAAGGCAACAAGCAACUACUCAUGUUGCGCGUUAGCGAGUUAAGGGCUCACUACUUGGAGUCUGAGUCUACCUGGUGUCAUUCUGGUUAGCAGUGAUGGAAUUCUUAAAGUAAGUAUCAGCUCCCCGCUGGCGACUUUCAUUCUUUCACUCCUUAGUUUGAUUCUGAUCUAUUCUGAUCUAGUACCCAAUAGCCAGGGAAUCAGUGGUAUAGUUAACAGACUUCAGGGAAUCAGUGGGAGUGAUUUCAGCCUGUGACUACUUAGUUUGAUCCGUUCACCUAUAUAAAGAGAAUAUAGAAUUUAGUAAGGGCCAAGGCCAAGGCCAAGCAACGGCGCGCCAAGACACUACUAACGUGUCGCGGCAGCGAGUUGAAAGCUGCGCGGCAGCAGCAGCAUAGAUAUGUUAUAACCAAUUAUGACCAAGUCAUGUGUUCGCGUUACGCGGCAGGCGUUCUCCCCACAAUUCUCUCUUUUCUUCUAUGCUUAACACAAGCACCUGAACCGACCUAUAAUAAGUGUUCACCCCGACCCGACCUAUCUUUCCAUUGGCACAACUAAUGCUAUCAGCCAAGUCGCGUAUACAAAUAGAGAGAGGAGCCUCAUCUACUUAUUGCUCCUAUCUUAUUACUUCUAUGCUAUCUCUUAUGAAACAGGACUAGACUACUACUCCACUGGCAAAACAGGACCCCUACGCAGCUAGGCACAAGUUGAUCUAAAGUAAACAAAUCAUUCAUCUACUUCUCCUCUGGCAACUGACACUCGGUCUUCAACUAGCACCGAACCUAUCUCUACCCUUAACAUUAUUGUUUCUAGUUCCAACCAAGGCUAUGGAGGUUUCAACUUCCACUCGGUAUUCCACACUUCGAUUUUCAGAACUGUCAACACCUUACUUUAGAACUGAGCUUGAUUGUUCCCCUGUUGUUACUGUUGCUGAUGGGGAUCUGUCUUCUGUAGUUUGAUUUGAUGGGAAAUCCUUCAUUGGAAACUCAGAAACUUGCCAACGAAGUCAUUUCUGCCUACCAUCUUUAUGGUUCCUUCCCUGAACUAAUUGAACUAGUUGACUUCCCACUACUCUGGUAUUGUAUAAGAAUAGUGGCCCAGCGACUACUAGAUGCGGCAGAUGGGUCAUAUAACUACUGAGUGCAAUUCACCAAGCAACUACAACAAGGCCCGAGCUACUGCUUUUCUUUCCAUGACUACUUAUACGGAUGCUUAGAUUUAGUCUCUCGCUCUUGUCUGUGAGUCUUCCUUGCCUUGCCUAGAUCCCAAGCUAACUCUUAUGGUCUUAUAGCUCUGCCGGGUAUCCUGACUUUAUUAUCUCAUUCCCUGCGGUGUUUCUCCAAUUCCCAUGCACGCUCUAGCUUAAGACCCGGCAGUGACCAUUCCUAUAGGAGUCAUUUCAUUCUUUUACUAAUGAGUCAACUUCUGCAUUCUCAGUGCAAUUCCUUAUUCUUAGUUAUUCCUCUGAUAAGUAAUAGUUGUUUUGUCUUGCUAGGUGCCUAGCCUAGGGUAUAUGAGUGAGUAGAACAGAAUCAGUAUUAGUCCUUAGUUCAAUUCGUAUAAGUAGUAAGUGGGAUUCUUUAACAAACAAGUAAGGAUCAAAGAUGGGAAUAGCAGACCCAAACCUAACUCUCUAAAGGCGGAUUGGGAGUCGAACUACAAAGUUCUUUUUAUCGGACUCAACUCACACUCAAGGCAAUAAGGUUUUAGGCUGCUUAGUUCAUUUAUUCAAUGAAUGUCCUUUAUUCGUACUAUACUAUUUGUCUUAGAGCUUGUAUCCAAGGACAGGGAUCCUUACUUAACUAGAGACUAAUGGCCCAAUGAGAGCCCAGGUCACAGAAUUUCGUUUCUGAACAGAGGAACCUAGUGUUCGAUCGGUUACUACUCUACUACUACUCUCUUCGGGCUUACUACUCAAUAGUUGUAGGCUUACUUCUAACAUGGACUAAUAACUUAUAACUCAUAACUAGUAACAGACUGAAACAACUAUACCCUAGCCUCGCCUAACAAGUAAGUAAGUCAACCUGCCUAGUACAAGUAAGUAAACAAAGAACUUACUAUAAGGGCCUCUCAACUGGACCACUACUUGUCAACUUCAGACUCCCUCGGGAGCUCAACUAAGUAAGUAUAUAGUAGAAAAGGCGCACACAGGACAGAUAUAGUAGUUCCGCUAUUGCUCUUGAAACUAAAGUACUGCUUCCAAACCUGCUCUUCAAACAACUUCUUUAGCGGCAGUCCGGGUUGGGAGUAGCAACACCUACUUCUAUUGAACUAAAUGAAACAAGUGAGUUACAGCCUGUGUUGUGUUCGUAUGCCUCUGCCUCUGCUGCCUAUGCCUUUAGUUAGUAAUUUGUAUGGGGUUCGUCUGCCUCGCCUCUCAAUCUUAUCUAUCUUAUCUUGUUAAAACAAGGGAAAGGGUAAACGAGGUCAUUCAUAUGAGUCCCCUUCAGUUCGAGGUCUGUUAUGAAAGUCUAGUUAUUGCCCCUUUAAGUAGUGCUUCUUCACAAACUACCCGAGCCGCCAAGACACGGAUAGACAAGUUACUACUCAUAGCUUCCCUUUCAGACUACACUAGGGAUAGGGAAGAAACAGAAUCAGGCCAGGGCAGCUAGGGCCAAGUCACUCAGAUAUUAAUUCUCCGAUGUCAACAAAUACUUCCUCUCCUCAGCUACAAGGCCUUAGCAACCUAUCACUUAUUACAAAUAUUCUGCAUUACAAGUUAUUGGAAGGUUAUGACCAAUCCUAGGAAAGAAAUAAGUCACAAUUAUUCAAAAUAAGGGAGCUGACUGAUGGAGAGUCAAAUUGAUAUGAAUGAGUUGCUUUGAUGUUGACUACCAGAAAUUAGUAAAAUAGUUGCCCGAGGUAUUAUAGAAGAUAGUAGCCAAGAUAGUUGCCAGAGGUAGAGGUGUUGCGGGAAGGGGAGGCGUGUAAUAGAAAAAGUCACUAACCCCACAACCCAGUAGGGCUCUUUCUCGAUAGUAGGAAAACCCCGUAGGGCUCUUUCUCGAUAGUAGGAAUUUGCCUCUACAGUAGGAAAGUAACUUCACAGUGUGUUUAAAGCAAUAAAGUUCUAAUUUCACUUUCCGGUAAGAAACAUAAGAUUUAGCUAGGUCUGAUAGCUCAGCAGAUAUAUAACUGAUAGCUCAGCAGAUAUAUAAGUAUUCCGUCGACUAUUAGACUCUAUUCUAGUUCUCUCUCUCGCAUUACUUGAAACAAAGAAUUCCACUCCAAGGGAGGAAACGGAGCCAAGCUACUCAGAGACAAGACUCGGCAAUAAAUGUAUUAUUAAUGAAGUUAUGAGCAAGUCCUUUAUUCUAUUCUGGGCGGUAGGAGCCGAGUUCUGGCGGUAGUGAGUUCCAAGCGUCAGCUACGAAAUAACUUGUUUCAUCCGGUAUUAUCCUUAAGAAAGUUCUAUUGAUUUUCUUAUACAGGGUGUGUACAGUGUCAGUAUAGGAUCAAUUCCAGUCGUUUUUCUUUUGACUAUGGUGAUUCCAACAGUUUUAAGCCCACUCUACAACUCUCUUCUUUUCUUUAGUUCACUACCGGUCAACUCUCUUCUUUCUUAAAGGAAGGAAUGCUAGGUGGUUCGGCAAGAAAAAGCCCAGUGUUAUCUAGCUCUAUCAUACAAUACAUCGCUCUUUACCGCUCGAACAAGAACAGGGCAUUCUCAUUCUUCAGCUCGAACUAUACUAGCAAAACCGGGAAUCAUACUAACUAAUAUCAGAAUAAACCCACAGCCAAUAAGAGGAACGCGGCCUUUGAAUCACUGAUCGCCGGGGUUGCAACAAGCAAAUAGUACCUCCCUAAUAAGAAGGAUCCUGCUCUACUGCCUAACAGCCUUACUAUCUUCACUUUUCGCCUUACUUGAAAGCCUCUGAGCUUCUAUGCCUCUACUCCUUUCCUUAGUUGCAUCCUAUCUAUCCUAUCUAUCAGUCCGCCCCUUGACUCUUUAACCACUGAUUCGGAUCUUUAUUUGAGUGUUUCGAACCACAACAUCCCGGUUUGUUAGCCUGCAACUCAGCUCUCCUAUUCUUAUACCUUGGAGUUAGCUACUGAUCUAAGUCUCGCUUUUGCUAGUUUGUUUGUUAAUCUGCUUGUCGAGUUUCAUUCCUACUAAACAGCCAUAGUACAAGUCAUUCUCCACAGACCCAUAUGAUAGACAAAGACAUCCUCCGUAUCACCGACCCUACAAUGGAAAAACCCUUAUCUCGGUUACCCAAUUGCAUCCGUUAUUGCAGGAUGGAUUCUUUCAUUCCUUAUUCCGUUUCAGUGUCUCUAGUAUGAGAGUAUGGGGCGCACCUACUCGUUCUUGGGCUGCGGAGCUCGAUUCCUACUUCUUAAAACUCAUUCUUUAACAGCAGAGCUUAACUCUUACUUUGCAUCUCUUAAAACGGAAGCUGCUCUCUGCCAUUCUUACUUGCUAGUUUGUGAUUCCCUUGUGUACAUGCCGCUGUUCCUCAUACACCUAUAGCACAUGCGCUACUGCAUUUAAGGUAAGUAGCCUUAUGAUUCUUUAUCGAAAGGGAGAGGCAUAUCAGGACCUUAGUUCACCAAUAAUAAGAGGAAUUAUGUUAACUUCUAAUAAUGAUGUUUACUUGACACCGGCACUAACAAUGAGGAAUGCGCUACUACCCUAUUAGAUCGAGAAACACUACUGGAAGGGAUCUAUUGACAAACAGACUCGAACUACCGCUUUUAAGGCAGCCCUUCCCCCUAUUAGUCUGUAGAGCUCCUGCCCUUGAUUGUUUCCCUCUGGACACUGAUCCUUGAACUAAACCAGUGCUAACAGGGUUCUCACUGCUGUCUCUUAGCCUUGUUUUGAAACUAACUUCCCCCACGCACUCUGACUCUUUGCUUUGAUUCCAAUGCUCUUUGCUUUAAUGCUCGAACUACGGACCCGUAUUCCCUAUCUAAUGAUCCAGAUCUUUUAUCUUAUUAAUAAGUAAUUGGACUAAUAGUAGCAAGACGAUAACUCAAAACUAUGGCAGUGACUGCAGCUUAUAGGGCUGUUACUGCAUGGAAGUUGGUGGUCGUUAGUGAGCGGUAGCUCUAUUCUAGGGGAGUAGUUAAGUGAAGCCUGUUUGCCAUUACAUUAGUUCCAUCCUAAUAGUUAGUAACUCGAUUCUUGUUAUCGAAGAAAGCGGAAUGAAAAUAAGUGUAUUGAGAGUCAAAGAUGGGAAGAGCGGGCUAGUAGGAGGUAGUCACUACGGAAUGAAGUGCAAGAGGUUAGCGAUCAAUCUAGUAGUUAUUAGUUCCGUUCGGUAGCUCGUAGUUUAGUCGAUAGCUCGUAAUUGAGUUCUCAUAUUAUUAGUUAGUUAGGGCCUUGUUAUAUGCAAGUGAAGCCUGUAUUCAUUGUGGAAGAGCUUAGUUUCCCCGGUACCCCGACUGGGAAUGGGAAGCUUUUGAUUCUCACUUUGGAGUCGAAGUCCUAUCAGUGCAAUAUCUGUUCCCUUCUUAGAUACCUAUAAAUACGACAUUCUCCCAUUACUGGCACAGUUUCUUACUUGGUGGUUGACACCUUAACAAAACUAGUGCUCCCGAGACUUAACCUAUUGGCGAACAAUGGUUCCUUUCCUGCCUCCCGAGCCUGUCUUCUAUUCUUUACACGCUAGGUAUCAAACGGACAUUGUGCCCAAGGGCUUUAGGAUCCUCUGCCACAUGUAUCAGCCUACCGUUAUUAACUAGCAAACUUAUAUUACUGCCUUAGAGUCUUAUUACUCGCAACACAGGCUUAGGCGAGUGAGGCAAUCCAUAUUCUUGUAUUAGCUCUUAGGUGACUGUAGGACAUUCCGACUUCUUAGCCCAAUUCUCAGAAAUGAGUUUAUUUACUCAGGGGGCAUUAUUGGAAUCUGAUUUCUAUUACUUUUACUCUGAUUAGCAGUGGUGAAAUCCUUAUAUGAGUAAGUUCAAUCUAUGUGGGCAGUUACUGAUUCUUUCUAUUGGUCUUAUCGCUCUUGUAGCAGAGACCAGCAUCUUGUAGCGUAUGGUAUCUUGUAUUAUUGACUUGUAGUAUUAUUCUCGUUAGUUGAUUUCCUAGCUAUGAGGAACAGUAUUAGAGGUUGUAUUAUUUGUAGAAUGAGAUAGAGCAAAGUAAGAUCUAGGUUCAGUAAAGUGAGACUAACGGCCUAGGUAUAGAUAGUCGGGAAAGGCGGGACGGGGCUAGCUAGCUAACUAGUGGAAUGAAGAAUCAAAGGCAGUAGAUCCAGUUUUCAAGCAAGCAAACCCAAGGUCACAUACCUGUCGAAUCAAACUCAAAUGCAUAAUAAGUGGAAUAGUUUUCAUCUCCAAUAGGGGGGCAGGCAUUAAUAUUCAAAACUCUACAGCUGGGACAUCAUACACAGCUAGAUCCUAUUUGAGUUUAGGAGAUCGAAAGGGCAAAGAGAGCCAACCGGUCAUGGUCAUCAUGGAGAAAAAACCACUACUUUUUCGUUCAAUUGGCCUAUAACAAUCUUCUUAUCACUAAGGGCUCGAACCAUAAGAGACCACUCUGGGUUCAGUUAAAGUCUCUCUUUGGUCACAGCCUACUCGUUUUCGCAAGAUCCACAGGAGAAAGGGGGGUUUAGUUGAUUGGAUCUCGAUGACCUCUCCGAAAAAGGGCAGCUUAAGGAAGAGGCAAAAAGGAGGGCUUCUUCACAAGGCACCGGGACCUAAACUUUUCAAUUGAUGUGGCUGAGAUUAGCCUGAAACAACCUCCAGGUCCGCAAUCCUUUUUAUCUUAGGUUAGACUAAGGGAUGCUGAGGCUCAGGUAUCACAGGCCGUCAUCCAGAAAGUCAUUACUACCCUAAACCCCUUUUACCGUUCAAAAGAAACAGAGUGAGCAGAGAAGUGAUUGCUAAUCCACACAGAAAGGCUUGUUAUUACGAAUCAUGUGCCAAAUGCAAUCAGGCAUUCCAUGAGAAAGAACCAAUUCUCUGAGAAAAAGAACCUUGCUUGCCUUACUAGCUCUCUUGUUAUGAGCAUGUACCACAGGUGGAUUCAGUCCCUUCCUUAUAGCCUUGCAGUCCAAUCUUAUCUACAAUCCUUUUUCUUUAUUCUGGGCAUCAAUCCCAUGUGAGCAAAAAGGGCCAAGUCAUCACCAAAAAGGUAACGGAAACCCGACAAAUGAUAGUCAUGAGGGCCAAGCAACGGGCCAAGCUACUCAUACCGACAAGACUGACCCCGCUAAGUAGGAGUACAACUGCGACUUAUAGUACUGUUGCUACUGAUCCAGAUCCUUUACAAGUUUGGGCACUUUACCUAGUCAUACUUCUUUGGGCACUUUACCUAGUCAUACUUCUUUCUUUGGGCACCUUACCUAGUCAUAUUGGAAUUAAUGUUCUUAUUAUAUGUGAACAGAAUAAGGAAUUGAAGAGACAAGCUACGUAUAGACUCAAAACUCCGUAAUAGAAUCAUGGAUUCCACAAAAGGAAUAGAAGAAUUGGGGAAAAAGCGAACUAAGUAAGAUAAUAUGGGUUCAACCAAAGUAUGUUUCGGGGAACCUCGCAUCAAAGAAAGAAUGGAAUUGACAUGGAAUAAACUAUCUUAUAAGAGAAUAGAAUCGAAUUGGCACUGAGAAAACUAGCUUCUGUUCUUUUAAUGUAUUGAGACUAUCCAUGUUAUAUUGAUACAAGCGAGACCUAUGCUAUUUAGACUAAUAGUACUAGAAACAUAUACUACCAACCGACUCUAUCGGAAUCAAACUCAGAAGUAGGGAUCCUCUUACGCACCUUGUACUUGCCCCUUAUAUGAGAAAACGGAGACCCGCGCUACCUCACCCAUGUGCCUGCGCUACUUACACCUACUAAGCAAGGUACUCAUUCUUCAAGUAACAUCAUAUAUUCUGUGAGCGAUCAUUCAACCACUCAUUCUUCGGUCGACACAACGUUCAUUGGGACAGACAACGUUUAUGUGGUCCAUCACCCAUUAAUAGAGGUUACCUAGGUAAUGAAUUGGUCGGUUGAACCACCUUAGUCGACACCACAUUGAUUCUUCGGUCGACACAACGUUCAUUGGUCGGACUCCCCGGUCAAAUCACUCAGCCUUGUCGUAGCACCAUGAAUUCAGUGAGCUACCUUGCACCCACUCGUUCAGUAAGCGACCAGCAACUCCGUCAACGUGGGUCAUCGCGCCUAAGUCGACAUAACCAACGUGCAUUGGGACAGCGCAUUGGGACAACAUUCAUUGGUUGGUAAACUGAACCACACCGACAUAGAGAACGACAUAGAUAAUUAUAAGCUCUAUUAGGUUUAUUCAAGCUAUAAUAUAGAGAGAACCAUGACUCACUGUCAAUUAGCAUAUAAUAUAGAGAGAACCAUGACUCACUGUCAAUUAGUAGACCAAUCGUGAAAGAAUUGAAUAGCAUUGAGCGUGACACCUAAUAUAGACAGACGUUGCUUGUUCAAUAGUAAUAAAGACGUUUUUCAAUAGCAUUGAGCGUGACACCUAAUAUAUAACUAAGUCAGAAAUCCAACUCUAUUACUGGAAGAUACUCUGAAUAAUAACUUGCGGAUAAUGUGACUUUAAGAUACUCUACUCUGAAUAAUAACUUGCACAUAUAAUGACUGCUUGAGUAGAUGCUAUAUAGAACCAAGGCAAGGCCGGAGGGUGUAUUGAAUCAAAUCUGUUUCGUUGCUUGGUGGACUUGGGACAUAAGAAAGGUGAACUCUGGAACGGAUUCAAUGAAACUAACUCAUAACUCCUAACUCAGGUGCCGGUAUUGGUAUUUCACUCCUAACUAGUCAUUUAUGAUUCUCUCUCUUUCGUUGGUAACACUUCUGAUCCUGCUUAUUGAAUUGAAACACCUGUACUUGUGACUUUCGUAUGCGAGGUGGAUUCUUUGAUUUCGCUGUUGGUUGCCCGUUAGCUUAUUGUUGUGUUCGGGGCUUCUUGAAAAGAUUGUUGCCAUCUAUCAUAAAAGAAAGUAAACUAACUGCAAUUCUUCAGAAGCAGACUAAGGCACAUGAGAGAAUUAAGUGCAAACGAUGAAGAACUAACUUACAGAGCGAAAUCCUCUUAUUCUAUUACUAAGAACCUUGAAACUGCUGGUGCUACUGCUUAUGCUGACUGGCUCGAUACAGCUGCUUCGGAUCUUUAAAUGGCUUCUUCUAUUAGGCCUAAACCUGGCAAUACUUAACGCUUCAGUCAACAACUAAUUCAUUUCACAUUUCACUUCACUGAGGUUCUAUCUAUAUGAGAUUCUAUAUGAUGAUGAAGCCCCUGAACUUGACUUUCCAGAGAUUAGAGAUUGGCUUGUUGGGUAUGAAAGGGGAGCCUAUUGUAACUCCGAACCUAUCCUCUAUCCUUGGUUACUUCUUUCUAUCAUAUAGAGCGAAUUAUACUGCCUAUACUAAUAAGGAUCUUUCCACUCCAGAACUACUUGCUGCUGAAGCUAUUUCUUCUGCUUCAUCUGUUGCUCGUUAGCGCUAAAGAAGGACAUAAUUCAGGUUCCGGGCAAGGGCAAUCAGGCGUAUUUCCAAGUCAAGGCAAGAGGGCAGGGCGGAUUUAGCAUCGUGUUUCACCCACCAAGCCACUACAAAGUCUCCUGUGUUCGUCAACUUGAAGUCAAACAUUGUCAAUCAGCAGGAAAAGAUGUCCUGUUUUCGGGAGCCGAGUUCUAGCGGUAGCAGCGGAAUAACGGGCUUUGAAGCAAAUGAGGUCAAGAGUACCAGAAGCCGAAUGUUAAUCUCUACCUACUGCUGAAGCUAAUGGUGGUUCUAGUUUCAUCAUAUAUAGAAGCCGAAUGCUAAUCUCAUGCUGAGGUAAAGUAUCAAGUCAAGGGGUAGGGCGGACUCUCUAUAUUACAGUUUAAGCGCGUCGUCAAUAAGUUUCGACUUUCUCUUUUUCGUAUUAAUAAGUAGUUACGAUAAAAAGAAGCUAUCAGGAUCAUUAGCCAUAGAGGAAAGAGUUUUCAGAGCAGGUCAAGAAAAAGGCUAAGAAGCGAGAUCUUGCAGCCGGGAAAGUGUUUUCAACAAGAUCUGAAGCUUUAGUAUAGUUGCCUGCGUACUAAGCAAUGCUAGUUUAGAAAGCCUGAGUUCUUAACGGGUAGAUCGAAAGCCUUAGUUCUGAAUAGCAGCUGGGCGCCAGAGAGAAUAAAUGAUGGAGUCUGAUCUUAAGUCUUUUGACUUACUUCCUGCUACACCAUAAUAGCUAAAUGAUUAAAGCAACAGCGAAAGCUGCAAGGCAAGAAAGAGGGGUAUAAAGCAAGUAAGGUAAGAGCAGAGGUCAGCUGUCAAUUCCGUUUAGUUAGCCGUUAAGCUCGUUGUUGUCAAUGUUGCAGUGCUCUGAAAUUCGAUUCUCAAGGUUCACUCUACUUUCAAUUGAAGACCCAUGAGAAAUAGAUGCAAAGCUGUAUCUUUACUGGGAUCCAUACCAUGUGCUGUAAAGUCAUAAUGGAAUUGAACUGACAAAGAAACGAAAACAUACCUGACUGACGACGAUACUGCUUGAGCAUCAACCAAAAGGCUUGGGGCAGUGAGACUUACAAUACAUACAGCACUAGCCCCCGAUACUCACUUAAUGAAAUGGAAAAUCAUCUAACAAUCGGGAGCGGUAAAGUAUCAGUGUAAGCAGCAAGUGUGGGUGUUGAACAAAACAAGUAAGCUAAGGCGAGACAUAAAUCUGGGUUGAUAUCUUUAACUGACAAGUACUUGAAAGAUGGGUUUAUAGCCUACUAUCUUUAUCUUAAUGACUUUGAAGCAAGGUUAAGUAGAGAGAGAGUCGCUUCUUGCCCUUAAACGAACUACUCUUAUUACCUUGAUUCCCUUUCACCUGGUGUGAAAGCGCUCGAAAGAUGAAGUUUCAAGUUAGCGGGAAAGAAAUCAGUAUUAAGAAAACUCUUUAUAAGCGGGAAACACAAGCUUACGCACGCACCCCGUUUCCGUUACUUGGUCUUGCUUAGUGAGUGGUGCAUUAGCUAAUUCCAGAAGAGAAGUAAACAAAGUGAGCCGGGCAAGUCAAAUAAGUUGAGUAGCCAGUUGCUCCAGAAAAGAAGUAGAAAGUCCUGUUGAAGGUUAUAGGACAAUAGAAGUAGGCCUGUAUCUCGUCAUCAAGUUUCAAGUAAAGUAUCUGAAGUUUCAAGUAAAGUAUCUGGGCUGGUUUUUUCACCCUUAUUGUUAGUUGUAUUGUAGACCGCCUCUUCUACAAGUCCUUGAAGCACUAACACCAAUAACACAAUUCUACUUUCCGCAGGCAGCAGGAGAUAAUGCAGAAACUUGAGUUGGCGCGGGAUCAGAUGCUCUUACAGCCUUUGAAGCAGAAGCCAGAUCUGUUCAAGUUUCAUCGUUUUCAGAAGAAGAGGUUUGGUUAAGCCGUGAAAUGAUUCAAUUCAGGGAAGCAGUGUUUGUAUUUACUCGGUUCUAGACCAGAUGUUCGAGAGUCAAAUGAAAAUGAAUGAGUUGCACUCAGUCGUUAGCGCAACUGAACAAGUAGACAACACUAACACUUUCAAUCAUAUUCCGGAGGUACCAGCGAGCUACUGCGGGACGGCAAACUCACUAUCCUAGCGUAGUAGGGCAUUUCAAAAGAGAAUCAUCUUAUAUAGUCGACUUAACUCGAACGGAAUCUGCUCUCAUAGACCACUUUCCGCACCCGAGCAAAAGACUUGAGGAACCGCCCAGGCUCACCCCUCUCCUGUGACAAAGUUCUAUACAAUGCCAGUGAACGCUAGAUUAGAUUCCAUUCAGUUUGUUCAGUUAAAUGAGUAAGAACUAGCAAGGGAACUAGCACCCUCACUUCACUUUUGAAUAGAAACAUCAUUACAUCGCACAGCUGCAGAUCCAACUUAUUAUCUUGAAACUCAUCUGAAAACGAAAACUACAUUUGCUUUUCCAACAAGUGAAGAAGCAUAAGAUCCUUCGCCAGCGGAUUAUGAUUCUCCAGUUGAUGCUUUUGCCUCUUCUUCUAUUGUAGAUGACACUCGAACAGAAUAGAAUUGACGGGCCUUCUCAAGCAUACAAAGAGAUUCUUGGAGACAACACUCACACUCAACUCUACUUCAAUACAAGCACCAAAAGAGUAUACUCAGAUUCCUUACUUAUAGGCGCGGAAGAAGAAUUCUAGAAGCCACCAAGUCUAAGUGCAUUAGCCAGCGGGGGUGCUAAAGGAGUUUACAAAGGUUCGGAAAGCAAAAGGCAAUAAUGAAGUACUUGGCACCUUAGUGGAAGAGUUCGAUUACGAAAUUCUCAUAUAUGCGGCACUCCUCAUUCAAUAAUAAACGAGCAAGGGUGCAACUCCUCAUUCAAUAAUAAACGAGCAAGGGUGCAACUCCUCAUUCAAUAAUAAACGAGCAAGGGUGCAACUCCUCAUUCAAUAAUAAACGAGCAAGGGUGCAAAGGGAAAGCCAGGGUAAACUUCCAUUGUUGGAAGAAAUUCCCAAUCUUGCCUACCGACAAUGCUCUGAGAAUACUUGUAGGGGAAAGCCCAUCAUACAUCUAUACUGAAGUAGACCAAGUAAAGUCAACCCAGAUUUAGAGUCGUAUAAUCCAUCCUAUUCGUUGCGAGUAAACGUUAUCCCACAUUCCCAUAGAAAUGAAUUCUUCUCUUUCUUCCCCGAAACCUUGAACCUCAUCUCCCUCUUGACCAUGAGUUCUUCAUAUUGAAGUUCCGUUGGUUCCUUAGCUUGCUCGUAUUUAGAGUCAAUUAGUUUGUUUUGCGAAAUGUUACUUUGAGGCAUAGUGUACCUUUGAGGAUCGAGUGCCUUUUCUGGUUGCUCCGAGUUCGAUUCGAAAGUCAACUGCAAGCGGGAAGGAGACUAAUAUGAUGCUGCUGACCUGACAAGCGCCUUAACGGCAACAAACACCCCUGAUGAAAUAAUAACCCGCUUAUACUCUAUACUAAACUCUAUCUGCGCCCUUGCCCAAUACUGAAUAUCAAAGUAAGCAAUAACUUAAUCUCCAAGUAAGCAAUAAAAUAAUAAGUAGAAGCUCUGUGGCCUUGGAUGCGGUGCCUCAAUUCCCAUCUUUAUGCUGUACUGCAGAACGUAUCAACAAUCGAACAAGAAAGAAAGGCAAGCAAGGGCGGGGCAAGUAAGGCAAAGAACUAGCUUUCGCGCACCUGUACUGGAUUCUGCCCCAUGAACUAACUUUAAGUCAGAACCGAACCGCUUAACCGCUUUUCUCUGAUUACCAAGAUAAGAUCUAUACUAAACUAUCUUAUCUAAUUAUUAUUCUUAUCCGGAUUAUGAAAAUUGAUGCUUUCGUCGAGCGUAGGAGUUAAUGGUUGAAAGUCAGACAAGUAACUGCUUAGCAACUCGAUUUUCGGAUACCGGCUUGUUGGUGAUAUCGGCUUGGCUUCCCCUUUCUUUUGCUUAAAAACGAAAUACUUCCCUUUGGCCUAUCUAAGACAAACCCUCUGGAGCUUCUUCUCGGAUUGUUAACCCGAUUGAUAGAUCUAGAAUUACUAUUUCUAUAUGAGACCACUAUCACCCCUAUCUUUCUUUCGACUCUUCAAAAGUGAGAGUUGCCGGCAAGAGGCAAAAGAUAUUAGACAUCAAAUGCAUUUUCACUGCGGGUAUGGUCUAAAUAGGGAAUUCCACUAAAUAUGAGUUUCCCAUGGCUUAAACGGCGAAAAGAGGCCUUACUCGGCACAGUCUACUCGGCUUUGUAAGCUUCUUCUCCUUGUAAUUGAUUUCUGCCUUUCAUUAGAAGCUAGAAGACUCUGAGUUUCGGGUAUAUUAGGCAAGAUAUAGUUCUCGGCAGCAGCACGCACUUAUGGAAAUGCAGCUCUAACCUACUGGACUUUCUUUCGCAGGUCUUCCUUCUUAACAGGUUGGCUAACUUCCAUCUCAUCUUUUUAUGGAUACCAUUGCUCACGAUCUUUCCAAUUCUUUCUAUUCUAUUAGGUGGAAGCCAGUCAUAGCGAGACUCAUCUGGCACUGCGAUUGAGAACUUCUGCUCGUGACAUCUAAGUUAACCACUGAUUUGAUCUUUCGACAUCUAAGUUAACCACUGAUUUGAUCUUUCGACAUCUAAGUUAACCACUGAUUUGAUCUUUCCGGGAUAAUAAAGUAAGGACUUGAAGAGGAAGACAAAGGCUAGACCUGGAAAUAAGGAUUCCUUUUAGAAAGGGGACUACUUUUCACUGGGGAAUCCUUCUCUAUAUCAUACUGAACCUAUACUUCACUUUUGGGCGUCAGGAGCUUACACUAGAAUUGCCCCCAUCCAACCCAUCAUCUAAUCUCUAAGAAAGCAUCGUUUCCAUUCGAAUCCAGACCCCCUUCCUCCAAGUGAGUUCGACAGGCAAUAAGCGUUAAGGCGCACCUCUUCUAUCGCAUACUUGUUAUCUUGCCCCAAUCCCUUUAGCCAUCAAGUAAGCCACAAACCCUUUCUUUCCUCUUUAACUACAUAACUCUUGAACUCCUCUCUUACCGCACGCAUAUAGUAAACGAACAAGUAAGAAAGUCAGAAGUAAGCCCAAAACUCAGAAUUAUACAAGAAAGUUGGCAAGUAGGAAAGUGAGAAUUCCACUGCUAAGUAAGCAAAAGGGAAGCCCUAAGUGAGAAGUAAGCCCAAAACGAAAAACCUCAUGGAAAGGAUAAGGGAGCAACUGGUGCGUUGGGAACAGUUCCAUACCUUGGAGAAGCAGUAGAGACCAUUUACUCUAGGGGUGCAACAGCAGAAAGACUGUGAGAACACCCCAUCAAUGGGAACAUAUAGGAAAGGAUACAGCAGUAAAACAUAUAGGAAAGGAUACAGCAGUAAAUCAUAUGAAAAGGCUGCUGGACGAAGAGGUAACAUAUGAUGCCGCCUCGCCCCUUAAAGCUUCUAUUAGUAGCUUCAGGGUGGCUAACAGUAUAAGUCUAUCAUAUACGAAGGAGGGUGGGAGAUUGCAGCCCGCGGAUUGGCUAACCAAACCCGUAAGCGUGGAUUCCUCUGAGGUAGCAGCUACAAAAGUCAGUGAAGAUGUUAUCUUUAAGAGAAAUUGAGGCACUGUGAGCUCCAUGGUGCUUUACUUCUCUGGGAGUGAAAAGUGUAUACGUACCGAGGAAGUUUGGGCCAACGAGGAGCCCUAACAGUAUUAGUUGGAAGAGCCAGAGUGGAAUUAAGAUCUAGUUGCCAGCUGCUUGGCUGUUGUCAGUGGCCAUAGUUAUAGUAGCCUGAGUUAGAUGAGAUGGAAAGGUAGAACACUGGUUAGGAGUUUCAUUCAAUGGUCAGAAUAAGGGAGCUGUCACUAAUACUCAGACAACGAAUAAUAAUAACUAAUACUAAGCAUUGGUCUAAUACUAAUACUAAUAAGAAAAAACGAAUACUAAGCAAAGGUCUAUUGCUGCGUCAUAUGAUCUGGUUGACUUUCCUUGCACAAACAAGGACAUAUCCUUCUGAGGUGAAAGGCUAUUGAUUGGGAUUAGGAAAGCCUUGUUCAAAAGUCUGAGGAAAGAAAGUCCCACUGCAUCCGGUACAAAUAGGUUGCUAUUUAGCCAAACACGAAAUUAGGAUCAUAAAUCAUCAUAUAUCUAAUAAGGACACCCGCAAUCCAUUAAACAUUGAUGUUUCUGCCCCCCAUUGAUUUCUCAAUUAGCAUUGAUAAGGGCCCCGUAAUUGAUUUCUCUUUGAUAAGGGUUUUUCGAUUUCACAAGUGAGAAGGAGUUUUCGAUUUCAAGUAUAGUUCAGUGUCCUUGUGUCUUUGGGUUAAGGGGUAGCCUUGCCUCGCCUGCAAAGGGUCGAGCCUUCACUGCUUGUAUUCUAUUCUUUUCCUCCCAGUGCUAUUACAUACGGAAUAAGAUGUGGGUCGGAAGCUUGAUUCGAGCUCUUCCCCAUUCCUUUCCCCCAAAAAGAGUUAACCAUGGCUCGGUGGUAAAGCAGAAGAAAUCGAUGGGUUGAUUGGUUGGAUGCAUUCUGCCUUUCUCGGUCACACCCAUGCAUAGAACUUCAAGCCUUAGCAGUUCCGGCGGAUCAUCAUUGUUCGCACUCCAGGGAUCCCUAUGAUAUUUAGACAUUAUUCUAUUCCAUAUGAAGAUUUCUCUAUUACCUAUUAUAUAUGUAGACAUUAUUCUAUAUUCUAUAUUUAGACAUUGUAGACAUUAUUCUAUAUUCUAUAUUUAGACAUUAUUCCAUUUAUACAGAAUCCCCAUACGAGCGUGGAAUCCCCAUACGAGCGUGGAACCGGAACUUCCCCAUCUCAUCUGCUGGCAUGAAAUAGAAAUCCGUGGCAAAGCCCGUAAAUCACAAGGAAAUCAAUCUUAGACGCUUGACGUCGGUAGAGAGAGAUGAUUGGCUUCUUACUUGUUUGACCUCUCUUGGGAAAUCAAUCUUCUUACUUGUUUGACCUCUCUUGCUUGGCUUCUGGUUGUUUGUCUCCGGGUCUGAACCCUUACCUUGUCUUGCCCACUCGCCCCCUUCCUUCCCGGCACCAAGCAUUCCUAGAUAUUGCUCCAGUGGUUGACUACUCGCAUUGGUGGUUUACUAUCCUGCUCGCCUAACGAAAUCAAAUCAUCAAUACUAGCUUGGCCCCAACUAUUUCCGUUUAUCCUACAGCAGCUGGCGAGCCACUCUUGAGACGGAGCUUACUCGGCUAGCAACGGGCACUGGCGACGGAGAACAUAACUUCUGACUUUGGUUGUGGACCGGAACGAAUUACUUGCUCUUUCUGCUUUCCUCACCGUUGAGAACCGCAUAACUCAUUCUCAGUCACAACUUCGAAUCCACUUCAAUCAACCCAUUUGAAUAAGAGCGGAUCAAACUAUGCACACCAAAUCCAAUCAAGGAGGGGCAGUGGGUGAUUCUUCCUACCAAGGUCAACCAACACUCAAUCUCAACUCGUAGACUAGUAAACGAAAGCGAAGGGUACGCAAGGCAUUCGAUCUUCAAGCGAAAGGGAAGGGAGGUUCCAUUUGAUUCCGUUGGUAAAGGGACAGGUCAACAAAGUCCGCAGCUCUCGAAGUGAGAAUACACCUCCGCCAUAGGAUGACCCGAAAACGGGACCAAAUAGCUAUAGUAUCGCUACGUGGGGGAUCAGUGCUUUUUUACACCAGCAGUGACUCUAUAUCCAAAAUCAAUCGAUUACCAUGCAUUGCAUUCUUUUUUACACCAGCAGUAACUCUAUAUCCAAAAUCAAUCGAUUAAUUCAUUCCUUCCCGGUCCCCGGUUGUUUUCUCUUUUGUUUCUAUGCAUAGGGGGUCUCCAGUCUAGGAAUCCGGUUUGUUGCAGUUGAGUGACUCGGGUGUUGAUCAGAAGAGUUGCUCAGAGAGGAUCAACGUAGUUAAGAUUGAUGAAUUCGUUUUGACCCGACCGACGAGGUUAACCGUGGGAUCCUUUGCUUUCUGCUGUUUCGUUUGGAACAUUGUGGAUUUGACCUGACCCCUUGAGUACUUUGUAUCAAGAUUCGCAGCUCUUGCUUUUCUCUCUAGUUCAACGUUCACUCCUCCAUGGAAACUUCGAUCUCGGUGGUUCAAUUGAGUUUCAAUCCAUUCGGUGAGUUAUACCCUGUAGUAGCUCCUUCGCCUCUAUCGAAGGUACCUGUAUUCAUAGUAGCAACAGUAGGAGUGAGUUCAAAAAGAGACUAUACUUGCCUAGUAACAGACUUAGGGGGCCAAGCAACAGUGCGUACUAGAGCAAGAAAUAGGGUAUUAGUUUUUUGACUUCCCUUGCCCGAUCAAAGUAAUGACCUGAAUGGACUGAUGGUUAUUGUCCCGCUAUAGCUGGUGGAGUAAGGUAUAUCGGACUACUCCUGAGUUUAUGGUGUAGCCAGUAAGAGAAGAAGCAUACGUUGUGUUGCACUUUCUGAAUCUUAAUAAGAUGCCCGGAGCAGGUAAAGAAGCAGUUUUCAGAGCAGGAUAAGGGGAGAGAGCAGGAUCAAGUUCAGGAUCAGACUCCGGGGAGUAAUAGCCGGUUUAGGAUCAUAAGCUAUAAGAUAUGGUUACGUGGGCUAUCCGAACUCUCUUAACAGAGACCUGAGCCCUGAUUGAUAGUACUUAUUGGUGAAGCCGUGAACCUAGAUUUAGAGUCAAACUACCCAUGUUCUUAGACUCUUACGGCAUUUAUGACAUUUAGGUACCAACUCGAGCUCCCGAAAACUGUCAUUUCACUUGCGUAGAGGUGGGAAUUGGUUCUUCUUAUCCUGUUUAUUAUCUAUAUUCUAUAUUAAGCUUCCUCUCCAGCUGCUGCUUUAACCUCUUCUUCUUUAAUUCGAAGUUUCUAUACUAAAUCAACGAGUCAACCAGGAAUCCUUCUUUAUUGCUCACUUGAAAGAUACUUUACAGCUAUGUGGGCAUGAGAUUAGAGAGUCGACUCCACUUUCAUUUACUUUACAAGCACAAUAACUCUCCUUGAUUACGAAUAUGUAAGGGCCCUACCUUUUCUCUUUCGGGUUAUCCGUAAUACUCCUUUUCAGUCCUCCUACUUGGCUUCUUAGGCUUCUGACUUUUACCUUUUCUUGUUCUGCUGUCUCUCUGGCUGAGUGAGCUUCUCUGCUCUGUGUUGUUCUCAGUGAACUAGGAAGAAAAUAGACAUCAUUGGAUCCCCGCUAUAGACCAAAUGGAACUUAGUUAAUCCCCCACUGGGUUGGAUUCUCUGCAUUGAUAGCUUUAGUCUACCCUCCCUUCCCCACUCGCCCGCCCUUCCGCGUACUACUAUUAGAAUACAACCACUGCUAGUAAGAAUGCAAUUAGCGCCUCUCAUACCAGAACUUGGAACCAGGACUUUGACUCAUAAUAUCAGAAUAGGACUAGCGCUUCUAGCUCUGUAGCUCCUGUCUUCCAUUUUCUAUACACUAGAUAUCAAACUUACAUUCCUUGACGAAAGUCUUUAGUUCGGCAGCUUCGUUCUGUUGAUCCUGUCUGCAAUUCUUUGGCCCUUAUAAUAAUUGCUAGCGCGCCUACUCACAAGACUGCUUUUCCUGUCUUUGGUUCUGAAACUACUAACUAUAGGUCCCACUGCUUCAUCUAAUCCUGAUACUUUGUGGAGGUGUUUCGGCUUCCCUUCCUGGCUUUUAGCCUACCGCUCCGGUAUCUCGUUUUUUAGUUCGCCGCUCCUUUGUAUGCCCCGUUGCUUGCUAGCCCGCCCCUCCUGCAAUUCCGUGUUUCUGUCCUUUCUCUGUCUCUUACAUAUGCUUAUUAGUUUGACCUACUCGUUAGUUACUUGGUGAGUGGAGCUAUUAUGAAUCAAGAAUUGGACCGGCGCUUCUCUUUCCUGUAACUACUAUACACACCUAUAAGCCUGUCUGCACUAACUCCUAUUCUGACUACCCUGCUGAUCAGUCACCGAGCAAGAUAACCUAUCUUCUUUUGUGACUCCGCUCCCAAUGCCUAUGCUCCGUUUGAAGUCUGUUUCCCUUUACUUUGACUUUCGCUCUUCCUCUAUCAACUGUUAGAAUCAAACGAAUACUUAAUAAGCAUAAAAUACAAGAAUGGAGCUACUGGACUUCAAUCUUUCUCUAUUGAUCCCGGGUGUUUAAUGUUAGCCUGCCAUGCCUUUUUCUUACCUGUAUUCUUGUGCUACUGAUUUAGAUCUUUGCUUUAAUGCUAUAGUAGUAACUUGCCUCUUGAACUCCGAUACAUCUACUAGUACAAAUACAUACCUCUUUCUCUUACCUCAUAAAGUGUAAAUUACCCGGCUGAGAAUCGAGACCUCUGUAAACUCAUUCCAUUCCAUUCUUCAUCGGAUUUCGGUAUACCUCUCCUACGGCUCAGCUAACUCAGGCUAAUAAGUAAGUUUCUGGACACCUCGUAUCAAAGCUACCGAAAAAGGACUUAGGCCAAGCAACAUAGUCAGCGGCAGGAGCGGUGAAACUCUGGAACUCUAGGCGGAUUCAGCAGUAGCCAUUCACUCGAUCGACAAAAGGAAAUGCCCGAUGGACUCCUUCUUCUCUUUUUUCUUAGUCAAGUCAACAGUCUCAUCUCCAACUGAAUGAUCGGGCGUACUACGACUAAGAGAAUACGGGAAUGGUCCAAGAUCCGGAUACACUAAACCCUCUCCGACUGCAGACGAAGAUCGAGUUCGAAUAGAAAGUAUCCAAGGCAGGAAGACAUCAACAGAGUAAGCAAUCGAAGACUUCGAAGCUCUAAGAUAGAAGCUGCUUUCCAAGAAUCACCAGUCCCACGCUAUACGACGACAACUGAACCAUAGAAGGAGGCGGACGUAAUGGACCAGACAGACCAGAUGAAAGGCAAGCGGAGUCAUUCGACCCUAAAGGGGGCCUCGAAUGCUUACAAGACUCGCCUGAAUUGGACUACCAUAAACUAGCCCGACAUACUACUUUACGCAAUUUGAUACAUCGAAAGCGCACCAACCACAUAAGGUUCCACACCAAGAUCAAAUGAGGGACCACUAGUGGCAUUUCUCAUAUACGUUGGUUGGACCACUGCCGGAGAGAAAGGCUGACCCUAUCCAAAACCCUUAGCACAAUAAUAGGUGGGGGGUAUGGCGAUCCAACUACUACCCGCGGAACAGAGAUCCUUUCCAGUCAAGCUAUCCUCACUCAACAAGGGGAAUGAUUAGAAUCCAGCGGGGGUUAGUAAAAGACUAGGCCAAUGGUGCUCCACCAGCAACCUCUUACCCUCGUUCAACGAAGAAAGUGCAAUCCGUCCUUUCUUAGGGUUAGCUCUUACACAUUCUCCUUAUCAACAUCCAGGAUAUGAUUUGGACAAAAGAAUCACCAGUCCCCCACCAUAAAAGAAAAACCAAAUAAUGGAAAGAAACCUAAAAGAAGAUGUCCUACAACCGCAUACACAUACCCUCGAUACAAAGCAAGAAAGAAAGCAAACUCAGUCCUCGCCUCAGGUGAGCCAACCUUUCAAGCAAGAAUCUACUUAAACCACAAAGAAGAUAAUCAUUAUAUGAGAAAGAGCUUCAAAGAUAAGUGUAAGAAAUCCGGAUUUCGCUUUUUGAAUACAACUACAUUUCCUACGAGACGGAUUUAGGACUGACGGAGAGUUUGUUACUAGUUGUCAAGCCCUACAUGAAUUAGCACAAGGAUUAGUGCUUUCUCCCGGUUGAGUAGAUUUAUUCGCUUGCCUCGAAGACUGGCAUUAGGCCCCUUACUUAUGAUAGGAUUGAUUCGAAGCAAAGCCUUCUCUGGGAGAUGCUAGAAGAAAAGACUAGAAGCGCCCGGGGGGGCAAUUACACAGGCUAGCAGACAACCUAUAGCUAUUCCCUUGCAACAACCAAAAAUAAGUAAGCCUUCCUUCCAACAAUAGUAGGGUUUGGAAUGCAUACGGAAUGGAAAGCUAGAACGAAAGGGCAAGCAUCAGACAUAGGGACUACGGGAUAUACGUAAUAGCGGGACUAAGAGAUUCUCAAAACUAGUAAAGAAAAGGCCCCUUCGUAGACUAAGAAAGUGGGCAAUGGGGAUAGACCUUAAGCCUUCGCUUUUUCGGAAUACGGGAGGUAGUAAUGGGCGGAAUAAGUGGGCUGGCUGGGUGGAGAUAUAGGGAAAUCUAAGUAAGCGAUCUCAGACAUCUACAGAGGAAAUCCAAAUUCUUCCUGGAGAAAGAUUACAACACAAAUGACUAAAAAAGGGGCAAAGCCAGAAAUCCAAUCUAUUCUUUGCAAGAAAUCCAAUCUAUUCUUGACUUUUCUUAAGUAGGAAAAAGAGAGAAAUCAAGCAAGGAAUCCAAUUCGAGCCUUUGUUACACGCCAGGAACGGAGCACUCGCUAAAGGAUAUUCCCUUCCUUGCAGCACUUCAAAAAGGAGUUUCACAGACUCAAACAAAAGGAACUCGCUUACAGGACCGGCAUAGGGCGUUAGUGCUACGGAUUACUUACUAGAUGGAAUAGGCUUGUCUGACCUCUCCUUCCUUUCAUCUUUGGCAUCUCUCUUCUCUUAUGAUACCUUACCACUUUAGGGACUACCGGAAUCGAAUAAGACUGGUAGGAAGACUUCAAGGGCUUGGAAUGAUUACUUUAACCUAAAGCCGUUACAACCUUCCAUUCACUCACGGAACAAUAAUAAAGCCGUUACAACCACACUUCCAUUCACUCACGGAACAAGAAAAACACUUGAAGCCGCGGUAAACAGAUUUAUGUCAUCUGCACCUUCCAUCAGGAGGAUCAAACUCAUCUUUUCUAUUCCUUCGCAGAAAACAGACCCCAGGAAUGCUUGCUGUUAGCUGGUAAGGGAAAAAGGUUUGGGGACGAAGGGAAUCCGACUAUGGCACUCAAACGACUAAGACGAAUUCCGUCGAUUUGGACACUAUUCCUACUGCUACUGCGAGAGCUACUGCAGUAAGGAAGGAAUGCAUUCGCUUUCCACCAACCUUGUUUGGGGGGUUUUGACCUUGAUUACACGACUUCUGCUUCUCUCCCUCUUUUUCCUGUCCUAGAAAUCCGGUAAAGAAGUAAAGUAAACAAGCAGUGAGACAUCUCCUUAUAUUAUUUAUUAAUCAUUAAGUAGCACUUUAUUGAAAGCCGAGCAGAGCAGAGACUCGCUUUUUUCUUUGUACCGAAAUGAAUCAUAGGGAUACAUUAUUCGCGGAUUAUUCUUCCUUAUGAUUCGAGGCGAGGCUCAUAUGUCGAAGAGGCAAGGAAGAGGAUCCAAUGACGUGAUUACAGGGGCUGAUUCCGCGUGAUACUUAUAGCCAUGUGUUAGAAAAGGUGUCUAAGAGACUUAGUUCUUUGAAGUCUAGCUCUUUCUCUUUGGCAGGUCGAAUUACCUUCAGCCCAGUCUGUUUUAACAGCAUUGCCUACUUCUCCUCUAUUGAUCUGCACGGCAGGGAGUUGGGGCAAGAACAAGUGAAAGGUGCUUCUGAAGCUAAUGUGGUAAAGUCGAAAGUCAGGGGUAUUCGUUCCAAGUCGCAGGUAUUAGAGAUAGAGAUUGGUAACAACCCUAGAGUGAAAGGCUUAACCGAGUAGUAGGAAUCUCUGUCCUGUGCCCUUAAUUAAUGCCAUAAAGAAGGGAACAACCAUCAAGAAGGAACCAUAUAAAGAUGUUAGGAAGAAAUGCAUUCGUUGGACAGUUUCCGAGUAUCAAUGGAAUUAUGGCUAUCAGAGGAGUUUCCCCUGCCUUAUCAGACUCUAAAUAAGGGUUGAUGCAACUCGACUUGAUUGAGGCUUUACCGACCCGCUACUUAUGAGUUCCCCCACUUGAAGUUAAUCUGGAAAUUGGAUCUAUGGGGAGCACCCGUAUAAGUCAUAUUCCCUGCCUCAGAGACUUCUCUUUAUCUUUAUCCAUCCUGUCUACUGCUUGAGUAGACUUAUCAUUUGCUAUUGGAUACGGAACUUGCACUGCAGAUUCUCUAACUACUGCAUUCUGUUGAAACUGCUUCCUCGCCGGAUAUUGCUUAUGAACCCGGUUUUGAUCCUGGUUUUGAUCCUGACUUGCAAACUAGACUUUCUUAUGCUCCGAUACCUCUGUAAACUGCCAAGCUAGUGACCGAUUCCAAUCUUUCGAUAAGUCAAAUGAGUAACAAGUUCUUCUAUACCAUAAGUAGAUGUAGGCUCGGGUGCUUGUGUUGGUGGUGCUGUUCUAAAGUCUGCUCGGGCUGAAACAAGGUAUGACCCAUUUUCUGCAUCUAGUAUAAGGCAAGUAAUUGAACUACAAACUCGGAACCAGGAUUAGAUGAAGCAGUGGGACCUAUAGUUAGACCAGACCCGAGCCCCAACAAGCCGGAACUAAACUCAUUCGUAUAUGAGAAUAGGCAGAUUCAAAGAUGGGUACUACUAUUUGUAGCCGUAUUCGGAUAAGUAUUGGCAUGAGUAUAAUAAGAACAAGUCUCCGUUAAACAAGUAUUUGUUUGAGUAGCUGUAUCGGUAGUGAGAUAUAAGUAGUCAACUCAUCAACUAGAUAUAAGUAGUCAACUCGGAUUGAAGGAAGUAGUGGUAUACUAAAACAAACAAGUCAGAAAAAAAGGCAGUAAUUAAAAGACUACAAGAGGGGUAGGCUCGGUUGGUGGUUUAAGUCACCAAGCAACUACUAAUGACCAAGCCACGGAUAGACAAGUAGGCAAGCAGACAAGAAACUACUAAACAAGCAAGGGCGACAGGGCAAGGGGAUCAAUUCUGGAACUACCUCCUCUCAUUCUCAUUGUUACUGCUUUCAUUCCCACUACCACUAGGUUAAGUCUGUAACACCUAAGCUUCAGCCCGAGCAUACCCAGCAUCUGGUUUGCUAGCCGUGGUUUGAUUCCGAUACUGCUUAGGUCAAUUCUGAGUUAUACUGGGUUGAUUCUGUGGUUAGAUACCUUAGCUACCAAUAGUGACAUCCUAGCACUUGUUUCGGUGGGAAUGUAGCUGCUUUAAGACUUCUACUGACUAGCUGCCCCCUGGCUCUUAUUCUUGGACUCCCGGGUUUUUUGAUAGCAAAUAGAGAAAGUGGUUAACUCGACCUCCGCUCUGUAAACUCAUUCUGUAAUUACUACUUAUGAGCUUGCUGGCUUUUCUCUGAUCCUAAACCCCUGGCUCUGGCUCUGCUUCCUCGCCUCAAUCCACUCCCUUCCCUUACGCUGGACUACUACUAGUUGGGGCUCGGAAUAGCUUACCACAAACACAUAGCCAGUAUCAGGCGCAUCUACCGGAGUCAACUAAUACAGAUGCAACUGCGACAACAAAUACAGAUGCAACAGGCAAGGAAGCACUAACGGGAGCAAGAGGAGAAUAAAGAAGCAAGAUCUAUCUGGAAAGGAGACAGCACCAACCAACCCUCUAUCCUCUACCGUCAAGCUACUACUAAUCAAGCUACGACUAAGUCCUUUGUUGGAGGCUUUGAUACCGAAGCUUGAGAAGGAAUAAGGAACUAAAGGAAGGCCAAGUGGGAAGGGCCAAGCUACUCACUACCCUUGAAAGGCUGGAAACCAAACAACUCACUACUUGUUCUAAAGUGUAGUAGGCCUAUUCGACGGCUAUGAAGGUAGAAAACCACAGAAUCCAAUUCGUCACUGACAGAAACACACGCACCCGAAACUUCCUAUAGGGGCCUAUCCGUAGUCAACUCAUUCCAUUCCAUUCUUCUUUAUUACGCCAACCCAUAUGCCCUGUUUAUAGGCUUUCAAUGCAUUAGAAGCUCUCUUAGGCGUAUGACAUGAGAAUUAGUACAUCAAACAUCAGAAGUGCUUAAAUAGUUCAUUUCUUCUUAAUCAAAUAGACCCUUUGCCUUUACUUACCUUCAAGCUGUCUUCCACCCUUUAUUUAAUAACGGAUUUCUUUGACUACUGAGUUCAAUUACCUCAUUGGUAGCCGUUGCUACUGAUUCCACUUUACCACUCCACUCCUUACCUUACCCUUACUUUCGAACAGGAACAGGUGAUUCUCUUUCUUAUCUAUCCCUAAAUUAGUAACAAUUAUAUACUUCCAUUUGUAACAUUGUUACUUAGUUUUAGUCAUAUCAGUCCCAAGUUCUUCUAUACCUCUGGCACCCGAGUGAGUAGUUUCAUGAAAUACCUUAUCCGGCUUGUCUUAUGGCUCUGUACUCUUUACUACUCGUUUACUUGUUUGGGAUGAAACAGGACUCCUACUUGUCCACUUCAGACUCACAGUUUUCGGCCCUCUCUUAUCUUUCCUUCCAACCUAGCCGAGUUCUCUUUCCCCGCGAAACCAGUCCUACCUUACCCAGCCUAAUGGAAAUACUAAGUCAUUAGUUACGACUACUUGACAUGCUGAGAAUUAAUACCUUAGUUUAGGUAGGCACGGGAACCCUCUUUUCCUUGGUCAACUAAUACAGUUAGGGUCUCCAUUCUUCUCAUUAGAGGUAUCCGGUUCGAAGCAAGUAAAGAGCAACACAGUAGAUCGGCAGUUCCAGCAUGUAAGGAUUGGUCACAGAAUUCAAAUAAGUAGUUAGAGCUUUAGAGCUAGCAAGUCUGGAUCCGAAUCAUUGGUUAAAGAAAGAGAAAAGUACCCGUUUUUGUUUGAGAAUGAAAGCUAGGAGAUAUAGUCAGGUACCAGCAAUGAAAGGAUCGGUGUGUUAAGGGGACUGACUUGAGAACAGCUGAUGAAUUCUCUGAUCUACUUCCUUCACACUCUCCUUGAUUCACUCUUUUAGCCGAGAAAACAGAGGCGCUAUAUGCGCUUCAACAGAAGUGGGUAACCAAUUGUCCCAUGAAGACAGGACUCAGCCCUUACCUCUAUAGCAAGCACCCUUGCCCCGCAAAUAAUGAAUAUCUUAUUUACUUGAAGUGAAGCUAGCUAACCUGACUAGUCCUUGCUUUAAGAAGAGAAAGAAGGCUUAUCGGAGUACGAGCGAAAGAAUGGCAAGAAGGCAACUCGUGUUCAGCUUUCGUGAGUGGUGUGAGUUCCACUUGUUGAAUUGAGUUAGGAAACCUCCUUAUUAAAGGUUAAAGGACAGAGAUAGGGUUAAAGGACAGAGAGAGGCAGAGUUUAGUAUAAAUGAGUACAAAGCAAGCAAUAAAUCCAAUAAGUUGUUGAGUUCGUGCUAACUAACGUGUUAUGAUUUGGAGUUUUGGGUAGCCAUUAGAUUCGUGAGUUCCUGAAGCCGUUGUUUAGUGAGUUAAGGAGUAGAGUUCCGUUCGCCCUUGUACGUUCGAGUGUGCGGGGUGCCCUUAUUUAGCUUAGGUGCAAGGUUACUACUAUCUAUGGAUAGCUAGAUGAUAUUGCUGGUUGACUUCUGGUUUACUUGACUUUCACUGGCCCACAACUCUAUUGGCCCAACUCUCUUCUAUUGGCCCAACUAUCUUUACUGCUAGGUUAAUGCGAUAGCGGUAUCGUCUAAAGUUGAGUAGAAAGUAACGUUAAAGUAUAGUAUAGAUUACGGUGCCUCCGCCUCAUAGUAAGCAGUCAGCAGUGAGUUUAGGGGUGCGCCUAUGAUAUGAGCUUUGGCUUUGGAGGAAAUGAAGCAACUACGGAAUCUUAUCCACUAAAAAAGUAAACAGAACAAGCAAGGGAACUAGCAAACAAGCGAACAAGCCUAGAAGUCAGCUGUGUUAGGUUCAUCCUAGAGAAGAUAGUAAGUAGUAAGUUUCAGUUAGGUUCCGCCCCUACCCUAUAUAAGUUGUUGUGCGUGAGUUAGCUUUAAGAAGAGAGAAGGGAAUUGAGCUAUCCCAGACUCCACUCGGUAUUCCACUAUCCCAGCAGAGCCAGCAGCUUGUUGAAAGAAGUAUUUGUUUCGGUCGGCAAGGAAGCAGUUAGAAUCUGUUCUCUUGCUUAUAAAAGAGAGAAUGAAAGUGAGCCAUAGAAUCCUGUAUGUCUGCUUGGCCCCUACUUAAUCCUAUCUAUUCUUAUUAAGGAUUGAGCUGUUCUUAUUAAGGAUGGAUUGAGCUGCUCUUAUUAAGGAUUUAGUUGAGAAAGAGAAAAGCUAAUCGGUGAGGGCAAGCGAGUAGUUUCUUUCUUUACCAGUAGUUUCGAGUUGCUAGUCCCGUAGUUGGCGAUAGGAGAGUUCUUGUGCUCGUUGCUUGGCCCUUUUCUUCGAAUAAGAUAGCUCCACAGUAAAGAUCACUUGCCUCAAUCAGCAAUCAAUCUGCUUUUUCCUUUGUAUGCCUUCCUUCGGCAAAAGGAAUUAACGAUUCUCCCCCUCUGGAAGGGUAAGGUUCCAAUUGAUAGCUAUUCUGGCAUUCCUAACACUAACAGAAGCAUUUACUAGCCUGAGAGGUCUGGAUGACAGGAAAGAAAUAAAAAGACGUUACCAAAAUAGGGUUCAUUAGCCUCCAGCCGAGGGAGAAUUCUGGCUUGUUCCUCCAAGUCGUAUAUAUAUAUCUAUAUAAUAUAGAGUUCGUCCAUUCGGGAAGGGGAUGGCUGCCCACAUACAUGAAUAGAAUCAGAGAUCUUAUAGACUCCGGAUUGAUACUAUAGGACAUGGGAACCCAGAGAAAGAAGGAUUUUGACUCUAGAGGACAUAGGAAACCAGAGGUUAGAGAACGAGCAAAGGCAAAAUAUAGUAAGCAACCACAUUCUUGUUUAGGGAUGUCUUGCCUCUCUUCAAUGGUUGCGGGAAAGAGAGAAGGGUUCAGGGAAUCUGAAGGUAUAGCUUAGAACACCGACUGCGCUAAAGGAAGAAUACCGGAGUGGCCCGUCCAAGAACCGAUGAUUUGCGCUUUACCUAUAUGGAAUUGAGUAUAGUGGUAGUCGAAAGGAGACGCACUACUUACUGCCGAACACUGGUUCCUGUAAGUCUGGGUCUAGGGCAUCUGGUCCCACUAUAGUUUGCUUCAGGCGGUAGCGCAUCUCCGUCUUAAGGGAGGCGGCAACAAUAUAACCUUUCUUUUUGGCUGUGGACUUUGAUAGCAUAAGACCACGUGGAAGGGUAAUGCCAUAAAGUUCCCCUGGAGACCACGGAAAAGGAAGCGCCUAGUGGCUAAGUAGUUCAGGUCUGGGCCAAGUAUGGAUAUAGCAGGCAUCGAAAAGGCAUUGGCUCACACAGUCCAAAACAAGCUCCUGUACCGGCACUACCAUUAGAGUUCGAAGGUUUAUACCUAUACUGGGGCAAUCUCAUGAAUUGGGUGGGAAUUCCUCUUAUUCAAUCCAUUGUGCCUAGGCGUGUGUGGAGAAGUAAAUGUAUGCCCGCGCAUUCAUAUGUUCGGGUGUGCAUGCCCGCAAGGUUCGGCUGUUUUGAGACGUACGCUCGGCCUAUUUCUUGGUGGAUCAACCAGUGGCUGCUAGAAUAGGUCUUAGUGCUCCAUCAAAGCAGGAAUGAUCUGUCAGUUGGGUAUAACAUGGAAAGCAUUAAUAAGGCAAUCAACAUUGUGAGUGGAUUAGUCAGUUCCUCUGUAUGAAGCCAUGAGAGCAUGCCAAGGAUAGAUUAACGAUGAAACCACAAAAAGGCAAUACUUCCUCUGCUAUGGGGCGAAAGAGAAGAUAAGAAUCGACUUGCACAAAAAAACCUCUGCUGACCCUUACGAAACUAUUCUUUACAAGCUCUUCACCUUCCAUUAAGAGAGUUCUAGUAUACCACCAAGCAUAGAGGUCUAUUAUCACGUUCUUAUUGAUGGCUCUUUAUUGAAUCGUAAGCUCCCUUUGCUUUCACAUGACAUUUGAUGGUUAUUAUCUAUGCACCUUCUACUUUAGCCAGAUGACUUUUCACUUUCAUUCACUUUCUGCAGCUAGUCAAGCAAGCACUAUUGCAAACUCCAACUAUCAAAACCGUUUAUGUCAAGGUUAAUGAAUGAUUCCAGGAUGGGGGAAUAACCAUAUUCUUUGUUGGCUCGCGAUCAAUGGCUCUAUGGACGUAUUCGUAUUCUAUUGUUCGAAUUUCAUGCACGCAUGCGACCUAGAAACCCACCCCCCUCUUUCCUAGACCCAUGUCCUAUUCUCCACAAGCUGGACUCCCAGCCGAGCAAGAUCCACAAUGUUCGAAAGUUGCUUUGAAGGAAGGCUAUACCACCAAGCCAAGCUCUCCCUGAGGAAAAAUAGACUCCUCUUGAGACGCUAUAGCUAUUGCUGCAGAGCCUAGUUGAACCGAUGAAACCGAAAUCCGUUAUCGUAGUUGGACCAGCGUCACUGGUAUAGUAGGCUACCUACAUAUGCCCAGAAACAGGGAGUCGGGUGCUAUUCCAUAGUUAGCCAGAUCUAGUGUAUUACAUGAUGUGCUACGCCUUACCUAUUCUUUUAUUAGUAGGUGAACUAGAAUCGUACCGGGGUCGCACAGAACGAGAAACAGUCAAGUUAGCCUAAAAGCAAGGUGCUGAAAGCCUAAGACCUAUUUUAGCAAGUAAGGAUCAUAGGUAAACUACAGACCGAAAGGACCAACUCUUAGGCUAACAGCAAAGAGAGGUAGGCGCAAACAGGAGAUAUAGCCUGAAAGCGGGAAGCGCUAGCGCUAGUGGGUUAAGGCCCAAAGAGAGGUAGGUUGAGAAGCAGGCUCGGUUCUGUAAAUGAAGCCUGAUUUCUGUGUUUUAGUAUUAGAAGCUGUAGACUAUAAGUCCAAGAACUCAACAUAGGCAACAGUUUUAGAGCGAGUAAAGCUAAGAUCAGGAUCUGUAAGCUAUAGCCUGAAAGCGGUAGUGCCAGUCUCAUAUGUAGAGCAGGGUUCGAGGUAAUACAGUAGAGCAAGAUCAGUAUCAGUCGGGUAAGAGUGAGUUGAGAGUUCUCGUAUGAAGGGUCGUGUUUCAAUCCGGUAGUAAGUAGCACCAUUCUUUCCAGUUUACAGAGCCGUGUUUCAAUCCGGUAGUAAGUAGCACCAUUCUUUCCGUUAGUAGUAACAUUCCUUUUAUGGGGAGUUCGCGGUUCUUUAACUAACAAGUAAGUAUGCUAGGGCAAAUCCAUAUGUUAUAGAUCGGGGGGCAGUAAGCCUAGAGACAGUAAAGCAAGGAUCCUUAGACAGUAUAGAGUAGAGCAAGGUUCGAGGACAGUGUUUGAUUCGCCAGGUAGUAGUUCAUCCUUAAAAGCACUAGUGGAGUUUGAGUUUCUAGUUAAGUUAUUUAGUAACUGUUCGAUGUUUGCUCCUAUCGGCUCAAUUAUAAUAGUACACUAGGACUAGGGUUUUGGAAGAAUUAGUAGAAUUUCUAACUUAAGAGGCUAUGUUUGAGUACACAAUCCAGUAAGCAAGCCUUGUUGACAUCAGUAUUGGUAUGAAAGCAAAGGAGCGGCAGCCCGGGCAAUAAAGAGAGAACUAAAGAGUAAAGUAUCGUUAGGCACUGUUGAGAGCCCAGUUACGAGUUAAAGUAUUUCCAGUAUUAGCUCAAUUCUGAUUAAUAGUGAUUUGAUUCUGAGAAAGGAGGUUAUAGCUUUAUUAUGAAAUACAGGCACCUGAGUUAGGAGUUGCGAGUUAUGUUCCAUACGGGUACCGACAAGUUACUAUUAGACAAGCAGGAAAGCAGACAAGUAGGCAAGUAACUCAGGUAUUUAUUCUAAGAUCCUAUCAUGUAGGCUGGCUGGGUGUUAGAGAUGAUAAAGUCAGUUUCCCCACUAUUCCAAAGCAAAGUCAGUAAAGUAGAUUUAUGUUCUUGUGUCGAUUAGGGGUGAGUUUUGCCUCGUUAAGGGGUCGGGUCGGGUCAUUCCAAUUGACUAGCUAAUAGUUACACAUCAUACAUGUCUUGGCGCGCCGUUGCUUGUCUAUCCGUUGCUUGGCCCCCGCUUCAAAGCAAGAUUCCUCACUUAUAUACUUUGUGGCUCUCAAGAUAUACUUUGGCUCUCCAGAUUCAAUCAAUUCUUUCACUUCUGCUUACGAAGUUCGAAAUCACUGUUUUCGUAUCAGCGCCCUUUUACCAGUCUAAAUCUUCUCUUAAGUAAAUCUCUAAUUGAAUGAAGUAUGGAUGCGGGUGCCUAAGGAAGCCCAUUAAAUACGUUGUUAGAGGCGUUGGCAGGAGCUGUGAAAAAGCAAGUAGUUCAUCUCAUUAUGACUAAACUGCAGGCUUUGUGUUUAUGAAUUGGUUUACUUGAAGCAAGAGUUCUCCGCCUUACUUAUGAAAUUAAGACUCAUGAAGGCAAAGAAAUGCAGUAGACCCGCCUCACUGAUAACUCAAUGGUAUUUUGUGAUUAGACUAACCUAAAGAUACAGAGAAAGAGCUAGAAAGGGGAAUGUUCUUCUUCAAGUAUUGUUUCGGGUGUUGGCAGUUAUAAAGAGAAAUACGGAAUUGAGUAUGGCCAAAAGGAACCGAUUGCCCUCGACUCCCUUGCUUAAGUCUUAAGUACCAAUAUAAGAAGCAGGGACGGUGGAGCAAGGGUCGAUGUAAUUGAGCUACUAGAUGAUUUCCCCAACUCGUAUACUGGGUGCUUUAAGGCUGUUACUCACUAGUUUCUUUCUGUAACUCCCGACUUUGAGUGCAAUAACUUACCAUAAGGACUAGCUUACUCUCCUCAAGCGUAUACUACUUCCAACUGAUAUCCGGUCUGAAACUCGUCACCAAAACCCGGUCAAAAAGGUAGCAAAGGUG
rnacentral:lncRNA from 1 species